UGGGGAAUAUUGCGCAAUGGGCGAAAGCCUGACGCAGCGACGCCGCGUGAGGGAUGAAGGUUUUCGGAUCGUAAACCUCUGUCAGAAGGGAAGAAACCGCACUGUGCUAAUCAGCAGUGCCUUGACGGUACCUUCAAAGGAAGCACCGGCUAACUCCGUGCCAGCAGCCGCGGUAAUACGGAGGGUGCAAGCGUUAAUCGGAAUUACUGGGCGUAAAGCGCACGUAGGCUGCUUUGUAAGUCAGGGGUGAAAUCCCACGGCUCAACCGUGGAACUGCCUUUGAUACUGCUUAGCUUGAACCCGGGAGAGGGUGGCGGAAUUCCAGGUGUAGGAGUGAAAUCCGUAGAUAUCUGGAGGAACAUCAGUGGCGAAGGCGGCCACCUGGACCGGUAUUGACGCUGAGGUGCGAAAGCGUGGGGAGCAAACAGG
rnacentral:rRNA from 1 species